AUGUUUUGCAAAUGUAUGUAUGAUUGGUUCUUGAAUAUGUCAACGAAAGGAAAUGUAAACCAUGUCACGGUACAUUUACAACUAGAGUUGUUUCUGUUAACAGGCAUUUUGCACAGGAGCACUAUGAAGCUGGGACAAUUCAGAGUCCAAUGGAGUACAAUUUUGUCCAGAUGCAAGGCUACAUCAAUUACAGUUUGUCACCUAGAUGCAUCCAUCUCAGGAAAUUCUCAGUUCGACAGAGUAUACGGACCAGACCAGGUACAAAUUCCCAACUGGAAACCAAAUGCACGGAAAACAGAGACCCAACAGUGUAACUGUUAA
rnacentral:rRNA from 1 species